AGAGCUAUAAUCAAGUAAACUAUAUUAAUUACUUUACUAUUAAAUCCACCUUAAAAUUACUAUUUCAAAUAAUUUAACGUAUAAAUAAACUUAUUGUAACCCAUCUCUACUAAAAUAUAAACUGCACCUUGACCUGACAUCAAUUAUAAUUAUAAGUUAAGAAAAUUUUUUUCUCUUUUAAGAUAUUCUGAUAACGGCGAUAUACAAAUUGUAAACAAAUUUUAGUAAGGUCCAACGUGGAUUAUCGAUUACAGGACAGGUUCCUCUAAAUAGACUAAAACACCGCCAAAUUCUUUAAGUUUGAAGAUCAUAUCUAUUACUACUCAAGUAUAAAGGCCUACAUUUUAAAUAAUAGGGUAUCUAAUCCUAGUUUAUAAUUAAAAUUUUAUAGCUUCAUUAACCUCUUAUUAUAAUAUUAACUAAAUUUAAAAUUUCACUUAAAAAAUUUAAAACAACAUUAUAUAAUUAAAUCAAAUUAACUAUUACUAAACAAUCUUAUUUGCAUUAUCUG
rnacentral:rRNA from 1 species